GACGUAGGGCGCGAGCGUUGUCCGGACUUAUUGGGCGUAAAGAGCUCGUAGGCGGCUUGUCGCGUCGACCGUGAAAACUUGGGGCUCAACCCCAAGCCUGCGGUCGAUACGGGCAGGCUCGAGUUCGGUAGGGGAGACUGGAAUUCCUGGUGUAGCGGUGAAAUGCGCAGAUAUCAGGAGGAACACCCGUGGCGAAAGCGGCUCUCUGGGACGGUACUGACGCUGAGACGCGAAAGCGUGGGGAGCGAACAGG
rnacentral:rRNA from 1 species